UUGGACAAGCCUUCUAAACAACA
rnacentral:siRNA from 1 species